rnacentral:sRNA from 1 species
AGUCCCGGGUUUGUUUUAUUCCCCCACACUGGUCAUGAAUUCAUUUGGUCAAUCGAUCCAAAGCAACUGUCCGACUUGGAAAUGAACGCUCUCCUGUUUCUCAGCACGUAAUUUGCACUCAACCAUACGGAAGGCGUAUCUUUAGCAUGCGCCUAUGGUCGUAAUAUUUCGGUCCCGUUUCUCCUACUAUUUUUAGUAUCGAUCAGCGUCCCGCCCAUUCUUGCUGGAUGCAAUGUUGACCGAGGCCAACGAAUCUUCACC